UACGUAGGUGGCAAGCGUUGUCCGGAAUAACUGGGCGUAAAGCGCAUGUAGACGGCAUGAUAAGCCAAAUGUGAAAUGUAGGGGCUCAACCCCUACACUGCGAUUGGAACUGUCAAGCUUGAGUGCAGGAGAGGCAAAUGGAAUUCCCAGUGUAGCAGUGAAAUGCGUAGAGAUUGGGAGGAACACCAGUGGCGAAGGCGAUUUGCUGGACUGCAACUGACGUUGAGAUGCGAAAGCCAGGGGAGCAAACGGG
rnacentral:rRNA from 1 species